rnacentral:tRNA from 1 species
GCUUCUUUGGCUCAGUUGGCUAGAGCGUCAGUCUCAUACUAUUACGUAAGAAAUUGCGUAACAAUGAGUGGGAUUACCCAUACAAUCUGAAGGUCGCAAGUUCGAGCCUUGCAAGGAGCA